rnacentral:rRNA from 1 species
AUGGUGGCGGAGCAGGAGGUGGUGGAGCAGGAACGGGCGGUGGACAGCACCGAAGCUCUGAUCUUGGCGGCCAAGGUAGCGGCAGCGGCGAACAGGAGAGGGAGCUCGCCCCCGACGUCGGAGUCGUCAACUGGGAAGAUGAAUCCCCGGGCGCCUGGAUGGAAUAAGAGGCUGAUGCAGAGGAGGGAUUUUUUUUUUAAGUUUUGGGGGUCCACUCUGCUUGAGGAGGUAGGGGAGAGUUUGGUGCCGGCCCUUGUGGCUGUGAAUGGCCUUGCGGUGGUGGAUUUGGAGGUGCCACAGCAGGCGGAGCACAAGGCGGCACAACAUUGGGCAGUGGACAGCAGCCAAGGACAAAUCUUCUCGACGAAGGAGGCGGUGGCCGACACAAGGGAGAGCUCACGUCCGACUUCGGAGCUGUCAAUGGGGAAGAUGAAUCCCCAAGCGUCGGGGUGGAACAGAGUGGUUAGUGAAGAGAAACUUGCAUCCCAUCAGAGAAUCAGGGAUUUAGGGAAAUAG